UACGUAGGUGGCAAGCGUUGUCCGGAUUUACUGGGCGUAAAGAGCGCGCAGGCGGUUGUGCAAGUCGCGUGUGAAAGCCCCCGGCUCAACUGGGGAGGGUCACGCGAUACUGUUCGACUUGAAGGCAGGAGAGGGAAGUGGAAUUCCCGGUGUAGUGGUGAAAUGCGUAGAUAUCGGGAGGAACACCAAUGGCGAAGGCGACUUCCUGGCCUGUUCUUGACGCUGAGGCGCGAAAGCUAGGGUAGCAAACGGG
rnacentral:rRNA from 1 species